UGGGGAAUAUUGGACAAUGGGCGAAAGCCUGAUCCAGCCAUGCCGCGUGUGUGAAGAAGGUCUUCGGAUUGUAAAGCACUUUAAGUUGGGAGGAAGGGCAGUUACCUAAUACGUAUCUGUUUUGACGUUACCGACAGAAUAAGCACCGGCUAACUCUGUGCCAGCAGCCGCGGUAAUACAGAGGGUGCAAGCGUUAAUCGGAAUUACUGGGCGUAAAGCGCGCGUAGGUGGUUUGUUAAGUUGGAUGUGAAAUCCCCGGGCUCAACCUGGGAACUGCAUUCAAAACUGACAAGCUAGAGUAUGGUAGAGGGUGGUGGAAUUUCCUGUGUAGCGGUGAAAUGCGUAGAUAUAGGAAGGAACACCAGUGGCGAAGGCGACCACCUGGACUGAUACUGACACUGAGGUGCGAAAGCGUGGGGAGCAAACGGGAUUAGAUACCCCCGUAGUCCCUGAGCGGGCUGGCAAGGCGCAU
rnacentral:rRNA from 1 species